rnacentral:rRNA from 1 species
GACGAACGCUGGCGGCGUGCCUAAUACAUGCAAGUCGAACGCAGUGGGGACGGGUGAGUAACACGUGGGUAACCUCCCAUCAGAGGGGAUAACACUUGGAAACAGGUGCUAAACCGAUACUGAUGGAUGGACCCGCGGUGCAUUGGCUAGUUGGGGAGGUAAUGGCUCACAAAGGCCACGAUGCAUAGCCGACCGGAGAGGGGUUGCGGCCACACUGGGACUGAGACACGGCCCAGACUCCUACGUGAGGCAGCAGGAGGGAAUCUUCGGCAAUGGACGAAAGUCUGACCGAGAAACGCCGCGUGAGUGAAGAAGUUUUUCGGAUCGUAAAACUCUGUUGUUAGAUAAGCGGUAUCUAACCAGAAAGUCACGGCUAACUACGUGCCAGCAGCCGCGGUAAUAC